UACGUAGGGUGCGAGCGUUGUCCGGAAUUAUUGGGCGUAAAGAGCUCGUAGGCGGUUUGUUGCGUCGACUGUGAAAACCUGGGGCUUAACUCUGGGCUUGCAGUCGAUACGGGCAGACUUGAGUUCGGUAGGGGAGACUGGAAUUCCUGGUGUAGCGGUGAAAUGCGCAGAUAUCAGGAAGAACACCCGUGGCGAAAGCGGCUCUCUGGGACGGUACUGACGCUGAGACGCGAAAGCGUGGGGAGCGAACAGG
rnacentral:rRNA from 1 species